rnacentral:rRNA from 1 species
GCAUAUCAAUAAGCGGAGGAAAAGAAACCAACCGGGAUUGCCUCAGUAACGGCGAAGUGAAGCGGCAAGAGCUCAAAUUUGAAAGCUGGCUCCUUCGGGGUCCGCAUUGUAAUUUGCAGAGGAUGCUUCGGGUGCAGCCCCCGUCUAAGUGCCCUGGAACGGGCCGUCAUAGAGGGUGAGAAUCCCGUAUGGGGCGGGGUGUCUGCGUCCGUGUGAAGCUCCUUCGACGAGUCGAGUUGUUUGGGAAUGCAGCUCUAAAUGGGUGGUAAAUUUCAUCUAAAGCUAAAUACUGGCCGGAGACCGAUAGCGCACAAGUAGAGUGAUCGAAAGAUGAAAAGCACUUUGAAAAGAGAGUUAAACAGCACGUGAAAUUGUUGAAAGGGAAGCGCUUGCAACCAGACUCGCUCGCGGGGUUCAGCCGGGCUUCGGCCCGGUGUACUUCCCCGCGGGCGGGCCAGCGUCGGUUUGGGCGGCCGGUCAAAGGCCUCCGGAAUGUAGCGCCCUUCGGGGCGCCUUAUAGCCGGGGGUGCAAUGCGGCCAGCCUGGACCGAGGAACGCGCUUCGGCACGGACGCUGGCAUAAUGGUUGUAAACGACCCGUCUUGAAACACGGACCAAGGAGUCUAACAUCUACGCGAGUGUUCGGGUGUCAAACCCGUACGCGCAGUGAAAGCGAACGGAGGUGGGAGCCCCCUCGCGGGGCGCACCAUCGACCGAUCCUGAUGUCUUCGGAUGGAUUUGAGUACGAGCGUAGCUGUGGGGACCCGAAAGAUGGUGAACUAUGCCUGAAUAGGGCGAAGCCAGAGGAAACUCUGGUGGAGGCUCGCAGCGGUUCUGACGUGCAAAUCGAUCGUCAAAUUUGGGUAUAGGGGGCGAAAGACUAAUCGAACCAUCUGGUAGCUGGUUCCUGC